CCCCUCUCAUGUUACAGCCUGCUGUCAGUUCAGUUUCUCUUUCUGUUCGACAUGUUCGUGUUCGUCCUUCAGCAAAAGACAGGUGCCAACCCGAUGCCAGCUGGAUGUCAAGGCCGGCAAGGAAAUGGGCUCCAGUCAUGUGGACGAGAUCAGAUAGUGCGCCUCCAAAACAAGAUGGGAGCAUUAUGUUGAUUAAGCUUUUAUUAAAGCAGAGUGGGAAAAAUACAGGUGGAUGAAGGUGUAAUCGGGUGGAUCUCAGUGCCUGAUAACACCUGGGCUCUGACCUAAACCUGCAGGAGGUGCGUCUCAUCAUGAACUUCCUUCAUGUUCCAAUACAUUAUGAUGGGGAUGGGGAAUCAUGACUCAGGUUAGUUUUCCUAAACCAUCUCUAUACUGGAGAUGCUGGUUUUACAAAUCAAUACAAGCAUUCUUAUUAAACUGAAGGGUUAGAGAGCACAGAUGGCACUGUAUAUUUAAUGUAACAAGUCAGACUUAGUAUCUUUGAAUCACAGGAGUGAGGGUCAGAAACACAACUCCAAAACAAAUGAAUGAUAAGGUUGCUCACCUGCCUUUUUUCAAAAAAAGCACAAACUAAAUUUCCUCCCAACGUGGUGUUUUAUUCUCACACAUACUGCAUAAGUACGGCAAUGGCUGGAGACCCUUUUGUAAUCUACAACUCAUCUCUGUGAAUAAAAUGUAAUAUCUGCCUAUCAUC